rnacentral:rRNA from 2 species
UCGGUCUGGUGGCGAGUGGCGAACGGGUGAGUAAUGUAUCGGAACGUGCCCAGUAGCGGGGGAUAACUACGCGAAAGCGUAGCUAAUACCGCAUACGCCCUACGGGGGAAAGCAGGGGAUCGCAAGACCUUGCACUAUUGGAGCGGCCGAUAUCGGAUUAGCUAGUUGGUGGGGUAACGGCUCACCAAGGCGACGAUCCGUAGCUGGUUUGAGAGGACGACCAGCCACACUGGGACUGAGACACGGCCCAGACUCCUACGGGAGGCAGCAGUGGGGAAUUUUGGACAAUGGGGGAAACCCUGAUCCAGCCAUCCCGCGUGUGCGAUGAAGGCCUUCGGGUUGUAAAGCACUUUUGGCAGGAAAGAAACGUCGCGGGUUAAUACCUCGCGAAACUGACGGUACCUGCAGAAUAAGCACCGGCUAACUACGUGCCAGCAGCCGCGGUAAUACGUAGGGUGCAAGCGUUAAUCGGAAUUACUGGGCGUAAAGCGUGCGCAGGCGGUUCGGAAAGAAAGAUGUGAAAUCCCAGAGCUUAACUUUGGAACUGCAUUUUUAACUACCGGGCUAGAGUGUGUCAGAGGGAGGUGGAAUUCCGCGUGUAGCAGUGAAAUGCGUAGAUA